rnacentral:misc_RNA from 1 species
GAUGAAGAACGUAGUGAAAUGCGAUAAGUAAUGUGAAUUGCAGAAUUCAGUGAAUCAUCGAAUCUUUGAACGCACCUUGCGCUCUUUGGUAUUCCGAAGAGCAUGCCUGUUUGAGUGUCAUGAAAAUAUCAACCUUGACUUGGGUAUUGUGCUCUAGUCUCGGCUUGGAAUUGGGUGCUUGCCGCUUUUACGAGCGGCUCACCUUAAAUGUAUUAGCUGGAUCUGUCUUUGAGACUUGGUUUGACUUGGCGUAAUAAGUAUUUCGCUAAGGACAUUCUUCGGAGUGGCCUCGUUUCUAGGACGCUUGUCCGCUUUCCAAUACAAGUUCCACCUCGUGGACAUGACUUUUUAUUAUCUGGCCUCAAAUCAGGUAGGACUACCCGCUGAACUUAAGCAUAUCAAUAAGCGGAGGA